rnacentral:tRNA from 1 species
GGGCUUGUGGCGUAGUCUGGUAGCGCAAUUCGUUUACACCGAAUAGGUCCCCAGUUCAAAUCUGGGCAGGCCCA